AAGAGCUCAUCAUUGGAAUCUGGCAGUGUUGCACUGUCCGAGUUGUAGAUGAGGAGUAGUCCAUCUGGACUGCAUGGCGUCCAAGUACAAUAGGCCGUCAGUGGGACAUCAUAGAGGGUGACAAUCCCGUCCUUGAUGCCAAUGUGCAAGUCCGUUACGAUGGCUAUCUCAGAGAGUCGAGCAGUUUGGGAUUUGCUGCUUAAACAUGGGAGGUAGAUUCCUUCUAAAGCUAAAUACAGGCGAGAGACCGAUAGAGAACAAGUACCGCAAGGGAAAGAUGAAAUAGCACUCUGUGAAGGGAGUCAAAAGGCGUGAAAUUGUUGCGAGAGAAGCGAUUCAAGUCAGCGUAGCUAGGCCCAUCAAGCGUCUCGCUUUGGACUAGCUUUGCCAGCGGUCUUGUCCUUUAGAGAGACUUGACUUGUUAACGAUGUCCAGCCUGGUAUGCACAGGUAGCCCCCCGGGGUCAGUGGCAUGGCUGGUGGAAUGGCUUGCAAUCGACCCGUCUUGAAACACGGACCAAGGAGUCUAACAUGUAUGCGAGUAUAAGGGUGGCAAACCCGUAUGCGCAAUGAACGUGAUUUUCGGUGAUUGAGAAUGGCCUGAUGACCAGACAAGCAAUACAUGUCCCUCGGACGGCCAUUGCCCAAGUUCCGUGGUAGAUCCCAUGAACAUGGAGUUGGAGCAUACAUGCUAGGACCCGAAAGAUGGUGAACUAUGCCUGGACAAAGCGAAGCCAAAGGAAACUCUGGUGGAGGCUUGUAGCGAUUCUGACGUGCAAAUCGAUCGUCUGAUCUGGGUAUA
rnacentral:rRNA from 1 species